rnacentral:rRNA from 1 species
AGAGUUUGAUCCUGGCUCAGAUUGAACGCUGGCGGCAGGCCUAACACAUGCAAGUCGAACGGUAACAGGAAACAGCUUGCUGUUUCGCUGACGAGUGGCGGACGGGUGAGUAAUGUCUGGGAAACUGCCUGAUGGAGGGGGAUGACUACUGGAAACGGUAGCUAAUACCGCAUAACGUCGCAAGACCAAAGAGGGGGACCUUCGGGCCUCUUGCCAUCGGAUGUGCCCAGAUGGGAUUAGCUAGUAGGUGGGGUAACGGCUCACCUAGGCGACGAUCCCUAGCUGGUCUGAGAGGAUGACCAGCCACACUGGAACUGAGACACGGUCCAGACUCCUACGGGAGGCAGCAGUGGGGAAUAUUGCACAAUGGGCGCAAGCCUGAUGCAGCCAUGCCGCGUGUAUGAAGAAGGCCUUCGGGUUGUAAAGUACUUUCAGCGGGGAGGAAGGGAGUAAAGUUAAU